UACGGAGGGUGCAAGCGUUAUCCGGAUUCACUGGGUUUAAAGGGUGCGUAGGCGGACAGGUAAGUCAGUGGUGAAAUCUCUGGGCUUAACCCAGAAACUGCCGUUGAUACUAUUUGUCUUGAAUAUCCUGGAGGUAGGCGGAAGUAUGUCAUGUAGCGGUGAAAUGCGUUAGAUAUGGACAUAGAACACCGAUAGCGAAGG
rnacentral:rRNA from 1 species